AGAAUCAACGCUGGCGGCGUGCCUAACACAUGCAAGUCGAACGAGAAAGGGGAGCAAUCCCUGAGUAAAGUGGCGCACGGGUGAGUAACACGUGACUAACCUACCCUGGAGUGGGGGGAUAACUGAGGGAAACCUUAGCUAAUACCGCAUAAUACCUACGGGUCAAAGGAGCAAUUCGCUUCAGGAGGGGGUCGCGGCCGAUUAGUUAGUUGGCGGGGUAAUGGCCCACCAAGACGAUGAUCGGUAUCCGGCCUGAGAGGGCGCACGGACACACUGGAACUGAAACACGGUCCAGACUCCUACGGGAGGCAGCAGUGGGGAAUUUUGCGCAAUGGGGGAAACCCUGACGCAGCAACGCCGCGUGGAGGAUGAAGUACUUCGGUACGUAAACUCCUUUCGAUCGGGACAGUAAUGACGGUACCGGAAGAAGAAGCCCGGCUAACUUCGCGCCAGCAGCCGC
rnacentral:rRNA from 1 species